rnacentral:rRNA from 1 species
UACGGAGGGUGCAAACGUUGCUCGGAAUCAUUGGGCGGAAAGCGCACGUAGGCGGCGAAGCAAGUUGGGUGUGAAAGCCCUGGGCUCAACCCAGGAAGUGCAUUCAAAACUGCUUCGCUUGAAUCUCGGAGGGGGUCAGAGAAUUCCCGGUGUAGAGGUGAAAUUCGUAGAUAUCGGGAGGAAUACCAGUGGCGAAGGCGCUGACCUGGACGAAGAUUGACGCUGAGGUGCGAAAGCGCGGGGAGCAAACAGG